rnacentral:rRNA from 1 species
AUGGACGACGUCUCAGGGCACGAGUGCACGCUUACAGUCCAUGACGACCAAGUGCACUAUUGUGGCUCUUGCACAGAAGUGAGAGUCCCAGCUUUCCCCCCAUUUUCAGAGACCAUGGUAGGGAUGACAGUCCGCUUCUCUGGGUCAGAUCCCUACUCCAUUGAGGUUGAUGUCCGACGAGUAGACAGGCGGGAUUCUGUUACCAUCGUAUAUCUUUGGACGGGUGUCGUCUCCCUUCAUGCCUGCAGUGGUGACAUGGUUAUACUGAGGUCCACAGAUACCUCGGACAGAUGGCAGGGAGACAUCGGAUAUUGGCCAAACCCUAGCUUUACUGCUAAAUCUGAGAAGAAAGAAAAAGAUGGAAGUAAAACUGACCAAAGUUUCUAUGGACAACACUUUGAGAGGGAUGUCUUGAUUUAUGUGCGAGAUGAGCAAGUGUGCAUAGGCAGUAAACUGUCACUGUGGCUACCAAAUACGAAGAUAUUGAUUAAGCCAGCACCAAAUUGUCCUGCUAACAUUAAGAUCUUACAUGGCAAGUCUUCCCAGCGAAAUCGCAGGUCAUCUAAACAGAAAGAAUGUCAAGGUAAAUAUCAAACUGAAGUUCAUAGCUCUAUCAUUAUGUAUAUGACUCUAAUCCUUACACCCUCCCCCUCUCACCUCCGUUCUAUUCUGAUUUCAAUGAUGCAGCUGAGCAGAAAAUUAAAGUUGCAAUAA